CUUGUUUUUGCUGCUGCGUUUUUGUUUUGCUUCUCUUUUGUUUCACUUUCUCUUGGCUUCUAGGUGGUGGUACGGUGGCUGCGGUGGAGGGUAGUGGCACGACGGUGGCGAGGGCUGUUGGGCUGUUAUUGUUUGGAUUUUUUGAAUUUUCUCUGUGGCAGAGGAGGGCAUCAUGGCCUAGGUCAUCUGCUGAAGUAGCUGGAGGUGAGGGGAAGCACGCUCGGCUGCUGAUUGGGGGGGUCUGACAUGCCCAGAAGGACCAAAAUGUAGAAGACGCAAAAUAUUUGGGGUAAAAAUGUAAUUUUAGGAAAAUAUGGGGCCAAAAUGUAAUUUUCAAAAAGUUUAGGGGUCAAAGUGUAAUUUUGAGAAAGUUUGGGGCCAAAAUGUAAUUUUAGCAAAGUUUGGGGUCAAAAUAUAAAUUUUUAUUUUUUGUA